rnacentral:rRNA from 1 species
GGGAUAAAAGUCGUAACAAGGUCUCCGUUGGUGAACCAGCGGAGGGAUCAUUACUGAGUUAUCAAAACUCCAAACCCUUUGUGAACCUUACCAUCGUUGCCUCGGCGUGAGCUACGGCUACCCUGUAACUACCCUGGAGCUACCCUAGAGUUACCCUAUAGCUACCCUGCACUUACCCUGCAGCUACCCUAUAGCUACCCUGGAGCUACCCUGGAGCUACCCUGUAGUCGGCUUCGGCCCGCCGAAGGACCGUUAAACUCUUGUUUUUACCACUGUUUCUCUGAAUUUUAAACCAAAAUAAGUUAAAACUUUCAACAACGGAUCUCUUGGUUCUGGCAUCGAUGAAGAACGCAGCGAAAUGCGAUAAGUAAUGUGAAUUGCAGAAUUCAGUGAAUCAUCGAAUCUUUGAACGCACAUUGCGCCCAUUAGUAUUCUAGUGGGCAUGCCUAUUCGAGCGUCAUUUCGACCCCUAAGCCCCUGUUGCUUAGCGUUGGGAAUCUACGGCGUAGUUCCUCAAAGUUAGUGGCGGAGUUAGGGUACACUCUCAGCGUAGUAAUUUCUCUCGCUCGUGUGGUGGCCCUGGCUGCUAGCCGUUAAAACCCCUAUAUUUUCUAGUGGUUGACCUCGGAUUAGGUAGGAAUACCCGCUGAACUUAAGC